rnacentral:misc_RNA from 1 species
AACGCACAUUGCGCCCUCUGGUAUUCCGGGGGGCAUGCCUGUUCGAGCGUCAUUACAACCCUCAAGCUCUGCUUGGUAUUGGGCUCGCCCUGUAGGGCCUGCCUCAAAAUCAGUGGCGGCCACCGUCCGACCUUCAGCGCAGUAAUGCUCGUCGCUGUAAGGGAGGGCCGAAGCCGUCAUGACAACCCCCACUUUACAAGGUUGACCUCGGAUCAGGUAGGGAUACCCGCUGAACUUAA